AUGAACGUUGGCGGUGUGGAUUAGGCAUGCAAGUCGCGCGAUAAAUUCCCGCAAGGGAAUGGAAAGCGGCGAAAGGGACAGUAAUGCGUAGAUACCUACCCUCGGGCUCGGGAUAGCUGCGGGAAACUGCAAUUAAUACCGAAUAAUAUCUCCGGAUCAAAGGUGUGAUUCCGCCGGAGGAUGGGUCUGCGUCCUAUUAGCUAGUUGGUGUGGUAACGGCGCACCAAGGCAAAGAUGGGUAGCAGGUGUGAGAGCACGACCUGCGUCACUGGGACUGAGACACUGCCCAGACACCUACGGGUGGCUGCAGUCGAGAAUCUUCGGCAAUGGGCGCAAGCCUGACCGAGCGACGCCGCGUGCGGGAUGAAGGCCUUCGGGUUGUAAACCGCUGUCAGAGAGGCGGAAAUAUAGGGGGGUACUCCCUUCUAUUUGACCUAUUCUCAGAGGAAGUGCGGGCUAAGUCCGU
rnacentral:rRNA from 1 species